rnacentral:lncRNA from 1 species
GAUCCAGCUCAAGGACUUUGAAAAGGACAAAGAAGAUGCUCAAGAUGAUGUGGAGAUUCCAAUUGGGCCAAUCACAAGAGCUCGGGCCAAGAAACUUCAAGAAGCUGUCCAAACUUUAUUAACUCAAGCCCAAGGAGAAGGUUCUAGUCCACAUGAAGAUUUGGACUUGAAAAUGGUUAAUAUUAAUUAUUUAAACAUGGAAAAGAAGAGUCUAAUCCUUUCAAAUUCGGACUGCUCUUUAUGGUGCAUUUAUCAUAGGCUUUUGGAAGGCUGAAGGACAUUUUUGAGGCUUGCAAAUGAAGGAUGAACCUAGUCAAAAUGGUUGGGAGUUUUGCUGCAACUUCCCAAGGUUAAUUAAUUGCUGCCAAGACUUUAAGUAGUAUUCCUUUCAUCUUCACCAACUUU